rnacentral:rRNA from 1 species
UACGGAGGGUGCAAGCGUUAUCCGGAUUCACUGGGUUUAAAGGGUGCGUAGGAGGGCAGGUAAGUCAGUGGUGAAAUCUCCAAGCUUAACUUGGAAACUGCCGUUGAUACUAUCUGUCUUGAAUAUUGUGGAGGUGAGCGGAAUAUGUCAUGUAGCGGUGAAAUGCUUAGAUAUGACAUAGAACACCAAUUGCGAAGGCAGCUGGCUACAGGUAUAUUGACACUGAGGCACGAAAGCGUGGGGAUCAAACAGG